CUACGUUCAACUUGGAUGAUGUUUCAGC
rnacentral:sRNA from 1 species